GAUGAACGUUGGCGGCGUGCCUAAUACAUGCAAGUCGAACGGAGAGAUCGAUGUAGCAAUACAUUGAUUUUCUUAGUGGCGAACGGGUGAGUAACGCGUUGGUGACCUGCCCCAAAGAGAGGGAUAACAGUUCGAAAGGACUGCUAAUACCAUAUGUGAUCAUUUGGAUUAGAUGCCUUAUGAUUAAAGGAGCUUGCUCCGCUUUGGGAGGGGCCGGCGUGCCAUCAGCUAGUUGGUAGGGUAAUGGCCUACCAAGGCUAUGACGGCUAGGGGACCUGAGAGGGUGGCCCCCCACAAUGGAACUGAAACACGGUCCAUACACCUACGGGUGGCAGCAGUAGGGAAUAUUGGUAAUCUGCGAAAGCGGGAACCAGCAACGCCGCGUGUGCGAAGAAGGCCUUCGGUUGUAAAGCACUUUUCGGGAGGUAAGGAGGAAGGACGUGUACUCCCGGAAUAAGUCUCGGCUAACUACGUGCCAGCAGCCGCGGUAAAAGUGUAGUGUA
rnacentral:rRNA from 1 species